UACAGGAGUCUCAAGCGUUGUUCGGAUUCAUUGGGCGUAAAGGGUGCGUAGGUGGCGGGGUAAGUCGGAUGGUGAAAUCUCGAGGCUCAACCCUGAAACUGCAUUCGAUACUGCCUUGCUCGGAGGACUGGAGAGGAGAUUGGAAUUCACGGUGUAAGCAGUGAAAUGCGUAGAUAUCGUGAGGAAGACAGUGGCGAAGGCCGGAUCUCUGGACAGUUCCUGACACUGAGGCACGAAGGCCAGGGGAGCAAACGGG
rnacentral:rRNA from 1 species